rnacentral:rRNA from 1 species
CCUACGGGGGGCUGCAGUGAGGAAUAUUGGUCAAUGGCCGGAAGGCUGAACCAGCCAUGCCGCGUGAGGGAAGACUGCCCUAUGGGUUGUAAACCUCUUUUGUCAGGGAGCAACGCCGGCUACGUGUAGCCGGACUGAGAGUACCUGAAGAAAAAGCAUCGGCUAACUCCGUGCCAGCAGCCGCGGUAAUACGGAGGAUGCGAGCGUUAUCCGGAUUUAUUGGGUUUAAAGGGUGCGUAGGCGGAAUGCCAAGUCAGCGGUAAAAUCGCGGGGCUCAACCUCGCUCCGCCGUUGAAACUGGCGUGCUUGAGUGGGCGAGAAGUAUGCGGAAUGCGUGGUGUAGCGGUGAAAUGCAUAGAUAUCACGAAGAACUCCGAUAGCGAAGGCAGCAUACCGGCGCCCAACUGACGCUGAAGCACGAAAGCGUGGGUAUCGAACAGGAUUGGAUACCCUGGUAGUC